GAUGAAGAACGUAGCGAAAUGCGAUAAGUAAUGUGAAUUGCAGAAUUCAGUGAAUCAUCGAAUCUUUGAACGCACCUUGCGCCCUUUGGCUAUUCCGAAGGGCAUGCCUGUUUGAGUAUCAUGAACACCUCAACUCUCGUGGCUUGCCAUGAUGAGCUUGGACUUUGGGGGUCUUGCUGGCCUACGAGCCAGCUCCUCUCAAAUGUAUUAGCUUGCCGGUGUUUGGUGGCAUCACAGGUGUGAUAACUAUCUACGCUUGUGGUUUUCCACUAGGUAACCUUCAGCAAUGGAGGUUCACCGGAGCUCACAAAUGUCUCUCCUUGCCAAGGACAGAUUUUGACCAUUUGAUCUCAAAUCAGGUAGGACUACCCGCUGAACUUAAGCAUAUCAAUAAGCGGAGGA
rnacentral:misc_RNA from 1 species